CAACAACAACAAAAAAAAAAAAUAAUUUUACCCCCAUGUCAUUCAAAAACUGCAGUACUGUUUUAAUACUGCAUGUUUGUUUUUAUUUUUUUUUAUUUAUUUUUUUUGUACUAUCUGCUCUUUAGGACAAAGUUGGCAAAAGUGUAAGUAAGAAGUUAGAGAGACUCUAUCUGCAGAACCAACAACAACUUGGGAGUUCUAGGCAUCAGCUGGUCACACUUCUAAAAGAACUGGAGCUUCUUGAAUCUCCGCUGACAGCACAGGGACAGAACAAGGCCAAGCAUCAGACGCAAGAAGCCCACAUACCGGCUGCCAUCUCCUGGUGGAGAGGCCAGUCUGAGGAGGGCAAGAAAAACCUGGCUGCCCUAGUUCCACAAGAAACUGUGAUGGAUAUUCAGAAACGGAUCCAAAGCCUGGAAGUCAAUCACAUACCAGCCCAGCUGGAAGAGACUAAGCGGUGCAUGAGGGUGCUUCUCAAAGACCAGGGAACGAGCACCUGCGACAACACUCAUAUUCAGUUUAGGGAUGUUAAUGUGGUCACAGAUUCAUCAGCAGAGGGUUCGGCCACAGAAGACCUACUGAAGUCCCUGAGGAAAGUGGAGGACAUGGUGACGCAAGCCUUACAGGCAGCUCAGGUGCUCAUGGGCAGUGAGAAGAGGAUGAAGGUGAGGAGAGAGGCCAUCGGCAUGAGGGUGGAAAGAGCACUGAGCAGAGCCGAAGCCACUGAGAGUCAACUCAAUGCCCUAGAGGCCACCAUCUCUGCUAACACACAGUCCAUGGGUACAGGGCUCCUGGUGGAUUGCGGCUCAGCUGCAGUUACAUCAUUUUCCACACCCGAGCUUGUCGCUCAGGAGAGCAUCCUCACUCCACUUUCAUCUGAGAACGGGACCUCUGUGGCUUUGGCCCAAGUGCAGCUGCCUCAUGUGCUGUUUAUAGAGCUGAAGGAAAUAGAGAAUCUCAGUUCACACAUGCAGUAUAAGGCCUUAAUCGUGUUGAAUCAUGUGAUAAGUGUAGACUUUGUGUAAAAGCAUAAAUUGCUGCGUCUGUUUGCUCACUAAACAACAGCAGAUGUGUGUGUAUUCUUGGAACAAGAGGUUUUUGCAACCUUUUUCUCUCUGCUUAUUUCAUGUAUUACAAAAAGUCUUGCAUUUGCUUAUCAAAUGAGUAGUCCAAAGUAAGUGAAACAGACAUGCAAUAAUAUGACUGACCAUGCAGCCUGUCUCUCAGAUGCUUUGUAUUUUAUGGCUGAUGUCUAUAGCUGUUUAAUAGAGAUAACAUUAUGUAAAAAUAUAGUGUUUAAA
ensembl:lncRNA